CAUAUAGUGACCCCUGUAAUAUCCUCAUUUAUCUCCUAGUCAGUAUAUUUCAGUGUUAACUGUUUGCCCAGGGUUCUGCUAACCAGGGUCACUGAGGAUGGAAGAACAGAUUAUAGUUGUCAACUCUUUCC
rnacentral:lncRNA from 1 species